rnacentral:lncRNA from 1 species
GAGUUGCAAAAGCUGUCUGAUGUUUGAAGUGUAUUGACGCACUGCAUUUGGUUUGAGACGAUUUGCAAGUUACCCAGAACUAUUGUUUGGCUGUCGAGUCGCUUUUCUGAAGAUUUCACGUCGAUCUUUAGAUCUAGUGUCUUUGUCUUCCAGAGAUCCAUUCGUUCCUGAGCUGAAGGAGAAGAGUCCUGCCCUCUCGAUCUCUUUGUCUUUGCCGCCGCCAUGGGGAAUUCUUCGUCUCUUUUCACCGCUGAAUCGCUACUUCGUCUAGGUGAGCGUCUUGACUUGGAGGAAGGCCAGUUCUAUGGCCUGGAAGGAGAGUACAUGUUCUGUGGAUUAGAGGCGUUCCACCAGAGGACGGAGAGACACGUUGGGCCGGCAAGAGAGGACGAGUCACUGGAGAGCCUGUCAUGAAGCCGGAAGACGUGGUCACUCAGCAGACCUAAAAUCAAGACUGGCCUGAGUUGGAUUUCCAGCUGAGACUGCCACAGUUCCCCUUCCCCACCCCCUCCCUUGCAGAAGUUGGAAGUACUGGGCCUCAUCGUGGCGCAAGGGUGAACACCCUGUUCAAACCACAAUACACAUGUCAUGCUGAAACUGGAGCAGACUGUGUGGAGAGGUUUGAGCUGGGUGGCCAACACAGUACUACACUCACCAGUGUGAAGGAUGAAUGGAGAGUCUAUAGGCAA